GAUAUCCAGUUUCUGCACACGUUUGUGAUCCCAGAGCCUUCUCUGGCAGCUGCCUCAGGAAGAUAAAGCUGAGACUGAAAGCAUCCAGAUACAGAAAAUGGUCCAGCUGAUAAACUAGAAACAGGAGGUGUGUGAUCAAUCUCUCUCCACUUUGCCAGCUCCUAUGUUUGAAGUACAAGUGUCAAGGGUGACUCAAACCACCUUUUUAUCUCAGAGGAAACAAUAUAAUACUAAAGAAAUGGCCUUUGAGAGAAAAACGGUACUCCUGGUUGAGAGUUUACAUGAAGGAACUCCACUCAGAAGUUCUGUUUGAAGUUCCCAAGAGCAAAGAAUGCAAGACUUUCUAUGGCAGUCACAGGAGGGAAGAAUAGCUCCUCAAGCAGACACUGUAUGACAGCAGACGGUCUCAUAGUGCCACAACAACAGGACAUUUCCCCAAGGAGCAAUGCUUCAUCACAGCAUAGAGGAGACCUAGAGGUACCUCCAUUAUCUUAUAUUUUCUCUCUCAGUCUCCUUCCUUCCCAAAUAAAAGAGAAAAACCCUCAAAGCACCAAAUUUUGUUACUUUAGUUUCAAACUUUACUUUUUCUGUAGGAGGAAGUGAUCAGUUUUGUGAUCCUAGAUCCAUGUUCUAGCUGCAAUUAAUUUUUUCUUCUUUCUAUAUAGCUUAUGAUCCAUAUAUUCCAUACUGUUCUAGUCCACUUAAUUUUUUUCUCAGGAAAUUUAAAAAAAGAAAAGUUGAUGAUCAGUACUCAUUUCUCUUUUCACUGUUCUCUAUUACCAGUACAACACUGCUAUUUAAAGCAAAGAUGUAGGUGUUAGUAUGUAGUGGUGUUAAACAUAAAAUACACAUCUUGUGCAUCCUGAUCAUUGUUUUUUUGCCCCAUGAAUACCCUUAGCAGUCCCUAUGAAUGGUACAAUUUUAAAGAAAAUCAUCAUCUCACUGUACCUUUACUUUUGACUACAUUUUUUCUCCUUGUGAAUGCAUUUGGAGUUCUUGCAGAGUUAACAGGAUAUUACCAGCAGUUUUUCUGCAGCAUCCUUCAUUGGUGUCUCAGCAGUUACUUUAAACAUUUUGAAGAAAAAAUGUCAACAUGUGAAUACCAGUUAAUUUACAAGUCCACUGGGAUUCAUAGAUAAAAAACAGAAAGUAAAGCACCAAACCAACACUUUCAAAUCAGAUUGCCAAAAGCCACGUAAAAUCAGACCGAUGUUCUCCUGCUGUUUACCACAGAGAAUAGGAGUUUAUUCCUUUAAUAAAAUGGAGAUGGAGUUGGACAUUGCUGAAGCUGAGACUAGAGAAUCUUAAUUCACUAUAUAAAUUGUGGUGCAAUUUUUAAAGAUUUUGAGCACCUGAGGCUUUUUUUACAUUUUAGGAUGGCUGAGAACUCCACAGAAGGUUGCCUGUUCUCAGGCACAGAUACAACAAUUUCCCAGCUCAGCAACAUGGAAGAAACAUAUGCCAAUAUGUGUAAAGAUUCUUGAGCAGACAUUUGCAGCCGCCCUCUUUGCAGCUGAUGAUGUGUCCAAACUUUGUACCAUUUCAUAAGAACUUUAAUAUUUUGAAAAAGCCUCACAUUCACACAGUAGUUCAGAAAGAUUAAUAUUAAAUGUAGUUAGGGAAAGAGAAUCUCUGGUGGAAUCUCCAAUUUACUCACACAACCUACCCAUCCUCCUGCUCUCAGGGUUUAGUUUCUCAGUGUUUGGCCACUGCCACAUAUAGUGGUUUGAAAAUAGUCGUAAUACUAUUUCCCCUGAGCCCAGUUUUUGAGAAAGAUGUACUUCUAUUUAAAGCAACAUCAUGUUUAAUUUCAUGACA